rnacentral:rRNA from 1 species
GAAUUGACGGGGGCCCGCACAAGCGGUGGAGCAUGUGGUUUAAUUCGAUGCAACGCGAAGAACCUUACCUACUCUUGACAUCCAGCGAAUCCUUUAGAGAUAGAGGAGUGCCUUCGGGAACGCUGAGACAGGUGCUGCAUGGCUGUCGUCAGCUCGUGUUGUGAAAUGUUGGGUUAAGUCCCGCAACGAGCGCAACCCUUAUCCUUUGUUGCCAGCGCGUAAUGGUGGGAACUCAAAGGAGACUGCCGGUGAUAAACCGGAGGAAGGUGGGGAUGACGUCAAGUCAUCAUGGCCCUUACGAGUAGGGCUACACACGUGCUACAAUGGCAGAUACAAAGAGAAGCGACCUCGCGAGAGCAAGCGGAACUCAUAAAGUCUGUCGUAGUCCGGAUUGGAGUCUGCAACUCGACUCCAUGAAGUCGGAAUCGCUAGUAAUCGUAGAUCAGAAUGCUACGGUGAAUACGUUCCCGGGCCUUGUACACACCGCCCGUCACACCAUGGGAGUGGGUUGCAAAAGAAGUAGGUAGCUUAACCUUCGGGAGGGCGCUUACCACUUUGUGAUUCAUGACUGGGGUGAAGUCGUAACAAGGUAACCAAGGGCGAAUUCGCGGC